rnacentral:rRNA from 1 species
AUUGAACGCUGGCGGCAGGCUUAACACAUGCAAGUCGAACGGUAACAUAAAGAAGCUUGCUUCUUUGAUGACGAGUGCGGACGGGUGAGUAAUGCUUGGGAAUCUGGCUUAUGGAGGGGGAUAACUACGGGAAACUGUAGCUAAUACCGCGUAGAAUCGGGAGAUGAAAGUGUGGGACCUUCGGGCCACAUGCCAUAGGAUGAGCCCAAGUGGGAUUAGGUAGUUGGUGAGGUAAAGGCUCACCAAGCCGACGAUCUCUAGCUGGUCUGAGAGGAUGACCAGCCACACUGGGACUGAGACACGGCCCAGACUCCUACGGGAGGCAGCAGUGGGGAAUAUUGCGCAAUGGGGGCAACCCUGACGCAGCCAUGCCGCGUGAAUGAAGAAGGCCUUCGGGUUGUAAAGUUCUUUCGGUAGCGAGGAAGGCAUUUAGUUUAAUAAACUGGAUGAUUGACGUUAACUACAGAAGAAGCACCGGCUG